rnacentral:rRNA from 1 species
UACGUAGGGUGCAAGCGUUGUCCGGAAUUAUUGGGCGUAAAGGGCUCGUAGGCGGUCCGUCACGUCGGGAGUGAAAACUUGGGGCUUAACCCCAAGCCUGCUUCCGAUACGGGCGGACUAGAGGUAUGCAGGGGAGAACGGAAUUCCUGGUGUAGCGGUGAAAUGCGCAGAUAUCAGGAGGAACACCGGUGGCGAAGGCGGUUCUCUGGGCAUUACCUGACGCUGAGGAGCGAAAGUGUGGGGAGCGAACGGG